CUUACAGCAGUGAAUCCAUUUUCCUGUUGAACACAUUUACUUUGAAAGGCAUUGAUAUCAUUUAAAGAUGUGGCCAUGACCUUUACUAGGGAGGAGUGAGGACAUCUGGACCUGGACCACAAGACCUUAUACCAGGAGGUAAUGCUGGAGACUUGUGGCCUCCUGGUCUCAGUGGGGCAACUUGUUCCCAAACUAGAGCUGAUCUACCUCCUAGAGCAUGAGCAAGAACCAUGGACAAUGAAGAAAGUCCUCUCCAAAAACA